UCCCUUUUGGCGCCUGGGUGGAAGCAAAUUUUCCACAACGGGCCCCAGUGGACUCCUCUUGAAGUUGGUGGACUUGUCAGUUACAGUAGGUUUUGGAAAAUAAGAGUAGACAGAGCUGGUGAGUCCAGUGGUUUGGAAGCUGCAGUACCCGCCCCCUGUUUUGGGUGCUGCUCCCUUUCAGCGUUGAGCGGUGGACACGGCACACUCCAGCCACAUGAUCCUUGUCUCACUCUGUCGUUCUCUGGCUCUCUCUCUCUCUCUUCCUUUCACACACACACAGGCAGACGAGUUACGGCCAUUGCCCUCUAGUAACCCCGGCCAACAAGUCCUUUAUUAUCAUGCCAGUAGCUUUUUCCUUUUUUUCUGCUUACUCCUCCUAGUAAGUAUGUGUGUGUGUAUGUGUGUGUGUGUGUGUGUGUGGUGCUGUCCAGGUCUGAGUGCCUUGUAGUUACCCUCUUUACAACCAGCAAAGAAUGAAGCAAGUUUGUGGAGAGAAGGACUAAUACAAACAAAGAUGCAGCGAAGAAGGAAGAAAACAAGGCUGGAAAAAAGAGAAACCAGUGUUCUGAGUCUGUUUAAGUAUGCGUUGAGUCCGUCUUGCUGUCUGACCUAGUGAUUGAGUUACAGAGAACAGAUGUGAGCAUAACCUCUAGUUACCUUCGCCUGCAAAACAACACCAUCAAUCUUGACAGGGUCUACACUGGGUUGCAGGCCAGUGCUUACAUCGCAGGGUGAAGUGGCUGGACAAAGAAUCUGUAUCAAACGGAGCCCUGAGCUGUGCUGCUGGAAAGACUUGACCCCAGGGCUGCAGCAGUGCUGGCUGCCUCUGUGGGAGCGCUGAACGGAUCCGUGCUGUGGAACAAAGAGAGCUGGACCACUGAGCCGGACCACUGUGUGCCCAGAUAAGCCUGCCCAGCCUCACACCAACAACUGACCUACUUAGGGGACCUCUGUUCUCAUUGUUGUUGCACCCAGGGGACACGCAGAUGGUCAGAUUGACCACACACUCACAGAGAUGAUGAAGGCGUGCUGUUUACCGAGUCGUCAUAGCAACACCAAUGUGGCGACGCCUGGCUGGGUCGGAAAUGUCUGUCAUCCCGACUGAGUCUCGGCCGUGCAGUUACCAUGGCAGCCCGUCAAACCAUUCAUGUGCACCUCCACUUGAAGUGUUCACAACUAGACGGAGAAAGGGAGAGCCGGAGGAGGGUGCGUGUUUGUGUUGUGUGUCCGGGGCUGUGGGGUUGCUGCUGCUGCAUGAAGCAUUAACACACACAAUUAGUUAUCUACAAAGGCCUGGACUUUAAGUGCACUUUGCUGUGAACAUGUUUGGAGUGACAGGAGCGUGUGACAGUGGGGCCCUGACGGCUGAUAUCUCCAUUUUACCCACAGCAAGAAGAUAUCUGAAAGAUGAGAACACAACAUUUUCUAUGUUGAUGGUUGUGUAUGAGGAGAGUUUGAAAACCACUGUGCCGUGUGUCAUUACCCUUCCUAAAAACUAUUUAAAUCCAGCCCUGAGAGCAUAACUUUAGUAUUUAGUCCCAGGCUUAAUUAAAAUGCUUAAUUACCCUCACUCUGUGGCAACCUAACAUAGACAGGCCUGAGACAAUUUUUGAGUUCUCAUUGAAGCUAUGACCUACUGUACCUCUGGGUACGGGAACCUGUUUUAAAAGCAGCUAUAAUUAAACACUGAUUUAAAUUCAAGAGCACAACUCAGCGCGGUGAGGUAAUUUAAGGACUCGGUGGAGAUGUCAGAGAGUGGCGGGAGGGGACAGGAAACUGGCAACCGGAUUAAGCCCCUGUGGGACACUUUGUCCCAGUGGAAUGGGACACAGCCACUGCCAUCUGCAGGGGAUAUGCAGGCGGAAGGAAGCAGAGCGGUGAGCAGAGAGAGGAUAGACAGAAAGAGAUUGUGCAUAUGAGGGAGGAGAAACCAGGUGAAGUGAGGAAGUGUAAGGGUGAAAUAUUGUAACAUUUGUCACAUUGAAUAAAGGUGCUACAGUGCUUGGAGGAAAGCCCCAAAUGAAAGAUGAAAGUUGAAUUCUUGCACUGUCAGCACUGUGUUUAUUAGAGAUACAGAACGUUUUGGUUUUUAAAAAAUGGACCUUACUGUAACUGAAUUUCAAGCUUCCUGUGUUCGCCACUGUCUGAAAAUGUAAUUAUUCAUAUACCGUUUUAUAUCAAAAAUGCCACUAAUCACUUUAGGCAUCACAUCACUAUUCACUUCACAAAUACAUCCCACACAGGAGGCUUUGAUGCUCACAGAGUUCUAUCUAUCUACCUCAGCGGGACGAAUAUGCAUCACCUCCACAUCAAUUCAUUGUGGACUUUACUUCUAAGAAGUUAUUACUAUUUCAAGGAGCGUCCCAGUAGCCGAAUGAUUACGGUGCAUGCCAAAUGACUGCAACAUCCAUGGUCUGAUCCCAGCCUGGGACUCGUGUUGCAUGUCAUAUCCACUGUCAUGCUGACUAAAUAAAUAAACGUUUUCUCACACACGA